UAAAUAAAUGUGCAGUAUCAAGAAAACAGUC
rnacentral:piRNA from 1 species